rnacentral:lncRNA from 1 species
UGAAGACUCCGUGUUAACAGUUGAUGACAUGUUGGUUGUCCAAAAGACAGAUUCCCCUUCAAUUCUUCUCCGCCCGAUUCAUCCUUCUCAUUGACCAGGUAUACAGUCAACUACAGGGAAGCAUACGACAUCUUUGCCUGCAAUGGCAUACUCUUCAACCAUGAACCACCUCGAAGAGGUGAAAACUUUGUGACAAGGAAGAUCACGCGGGCAGUAGGCCGGAUUAAGAUCGGGCUGUAGAGCAAGCAAUUUUCAGGGAAUUUGCAGGCUUCAAGAGACUGGGGAUUUGCGGGGGAUUACAUGGAGGCAAUGUGGUUGAUGCUACAGCAAGACAAGCCAGACGACUAAGUGGUGGCAACUGAGGAAUCACACAUAGUUGAAGAGUUCCUUGAAAAGGCGUUUGGGUACGUGGGGUUUGAACUAGAAAGAUCAUGUGGAGAUCGAUAAGAAGUAGUUAGGCCUGCGGAAGUUGAUAAUU